rnacentral:rRNA from 1 species
GACGAACGCUGGCGGCGUGCUUAACACAUGCAAGUCGAACGGAAAGGCCCUUCUUUUGUGGGGUGCUCGAGUGGCGAAAGGGUGAGUAACACGUGAGUAACCUGCCCUUGACUUUGGGAUAACUUCAGGAAACUGGGGCUAAUACCGGAUAGGAGCUCCUGCUGCAUGGUGGGGGUUGGAAAGUUUCGGCGGUUGGGGAUGGACUCGCGGCUUAUCAGCUUGUUGGUGGGGUAGUGGCUUACCAAGGCUUUGACGGGUAGCCGGCCUGAGAGGGUGACCGGCCACGUUGGGACUGGGAUACGGCCCGGACUCCUACGGGAGGCAGCAGUGGGGAAUAUUGCACAAUGGGCGGAAGCCUGAUGCAGCAACGCCGCGUGCGGGAUGACGACCUUCGGGUUGUAAUCCGCUUUCGCCUGUGACGAAGCGUGAGUGACGGUAAUGGGUAAAGAAGCACCGGCUAACUACGUG